AACAAAUGAUUAUUUGAUCCAAAAUAUGUCAUGUCAAGGUUGAGAAAUCCUGAUUAUAGAGAAAUUUGGAAGCUUGAUGAAAUCUGGAAGCAAUGAGCGGAUUUGAGUGGAUUUAUCAUGGAGAACAUUUAUCUACUUCUAACCAUGCCACUUAGGAUGACCCAAAGGACACUCCCUUCUUCAAGGCAUUAAUGAAUAUAUUGCUGGAAGCAAUGGAUAUCUGCUAGCUGGUCAUUUUCACACUGAACACCAAAGCAACAGAGAAGAAAUAGAUGAAUCUGCCUUCUGCUGUCUCAUUACCCCAAGUCUGGUGAGCACCCCACCACCACCACCACCAUCACCUUGGACCCUGGGACAGCAGCAAUGAACAAGUCCAGCAAGGCUCCAACGAGUCAGUUUAUAACAUUGGCAUUAUCAUCACUUUAAAAUGGACAAGUUAUCCUGUAAUGGCUGAAUCCAAAUGAAAGGAGAAGGGAGACCAACUGCUAAGCUGGAGUUCAGUCUAACACAGGCGAAUGCAGCAGGCAGAACAGGGAAAAUCAGACCGAACAGGCUAAACUGCCUGAAGAAUGACUCGCGAAUGGUUCUGAUUCCCUAACCCUCUGAUCAGGAGGAGGCCACAGCAAGCAUGCUGCCUACACACCCUUGUGGACCACAAGACCACCUGCUCAGUGAUAGAGUGAGUCACACUCUGCCUGGAUUCUUGACUUUGUGCAGUUUGCAACCUCAUUUUCCCAACAACUGAACUGCCAACAUUUAUUUUCUCACUAUGUUAAUGAAACCCAUGCUGCUUGCAGCUCACUAAUGGACAGAAAAUAGUCUAUUGCUUCUCUGUGAAAAAAAAAUAAAUACCCAGCCAUUAGAAUUACCCAGAACUAAUCGGGAAACUGUGUGGGGAAAAGGCAGGCUACAAAGCCACGGAUCCAAGUUCAGGCAUAAAGUGUGCCUCAGGCAGAAAGUCUGACAAGCAUCCUACACUAAAAUGUAAUAAAUGGGAGUUGGGGGGUGGUGGUUUGCUGCCUUGUAAAAGUGAUAGGGUUAGUGCUUCUUAAGAGGAAAAGUUGGCAUGCCUAUGACAGCCCCAGAGCCUUAACAGGACAUUAGAUGAUCAAUCACGUCAAGAGUCAGGGCUUGUGCUCUGACUAGCCCAUGGCCACUGGUCCUUGGAAGGCUUGAGGGGAACAGUAGCAGCAGCCUGCGACCUCCCCCAGGGGCUCCUCAGAGAAGGAGGCUUGACUAUUGAAUUUUUUCACAAAAUAAUGAUCUCUGUGGUCACAAAUAAAAUGACAUACAGCAUUUGAAAGCUCUGGGCAUAUUCAAUUAUCUUUAGGACCAUAAGGUUAGACAAUACUAUAAAAGUCUUUGGUUGAAAUAUCAUCUUUGGCAUUUUCUUUCUCAUUACCUCUGCAUCCAAUCAGUCAUCCAUAUUACCAACCCAAAAGCCUAAACAUCUCUGGAAUCUAUUUAGUUCUUUCCAUCAUCUCUACACUGCCAUUAUCCUAGUCUGAUCCACCAUUAACUCUCAC